rnacentral:rRNA from 1 species
GAUAAACGCUGGCGGCGUGCAUGAGACAUGCAAGUCGAACGGACGAUCGAGGCUUGCUUCGAUCGUUAGUGGCGGACGGCUGAGUAACGCGUGGGUGACCUGCCCCGAAGUGGGGAAUAACUGCCCGAAAGGGUGGCUAAUACCGCAUGUGGUGAUGCGUUCAAUCGCAUCAGUAAAGCCGCAAGGCGCUUCGGGAGGGGCCUGCGUCCGAUUAGCUCGUUGGUGGGGUAACGGCUCACCAAGGCGACGAUCGGUAGGUGGUCUGAGAGGACGAUCACCCAGACUGGGACUGAGACACGGCCCAGACUCCUACGGGUGGCAG